rnacentral:rRNA from 1 species
GCUUAUACUCGACCGUCAGCGGCACGUGCGAUCGCGCCCGCGAGGGCCGGUCACGAAGCCCUGACGAGUAGGAGGGUCGCGGCGGUGAGCGCAGAAGGGCUGGCCGCGAGGCCGUCUGGAGCCGCCGUCGGUGCAGAUCUUGGUGGUAGUAGCAAAUACUCCAGCGAGGCCCUGGAGGACUGACGUGGAGAAGGGUUUCGUGUGAACAGCCGUUGCACACGAGUCAGUCGAUCCUAAGCCCUAGGCGAAAGCCGAUGUCGAUGCGGUGUAGUUUUACUAACUAAUAUUAUUAUAUAAUAAAAAUAGUAUGUGGCACACACCCGUCGGGCGAAAGGGAAUCCGGUUCCUAUUCCGGAACCUGGCAGCGGAACCGUCAAUAAGUCGGGC